rnacentral:lncRNA from 1 species
UUGGCUGCUGUGAGGCAAAUAAACUCAUGAUUUCUGAAUUGAGGUAUAUUUUUUCAAUUUUUUAUAAGAUUUUUUUUAAAGAUUUAUUUUUUAUUUCAUGUAUAUGUGCAUAUUGUAGCUGUCUUCAGAGACAUCAGAAGAGGGCAUCAUUUCCCAUUACUGAUGGUUGUGCGCCACCAUGUGGUUGCUGGGAAUUGAACUCAGGACCUCUGGAAGAGCAGUCAGUACUCUUAACCAAUGUGCCAUCUCUCCAGCCCCAUUUCUUUCUUCCUUUCCUUCUCUUUCCCUUUCCCUCUUUCUUUCCCUCUUCCUUCCUUCCUUCCUUUCUUCCUUCCUUCCUUCCUUCCUUCCUUCCUUCCUUCCUUCCUUCCUUCCUUUCUUCCUCCCUCCCUCCCUCCCUCCCUCCCUCUCUCUCUCUCUCUUUCUUUCUUUCUUCCUUUCUUUCUUUCUUAUACUUUUCAAUUUUUAAAGUUAAAGUAAAUAGAAUGUUUCCUUGGUCUUUUAAAUUAAAAUGGUUAGUUGAUUAGUUUAAAAAAUUUAAGAAAUUCCAGAGAAUCUUAUAAAAAUACUUACUACCCAAGUUAAAUUUGGUUCUUUUUUGUGUGUGGUUGUUUAAAGUCUAUUCUAAACAACUACAACAACAAAAAAUUACAAGUUGUAAAAUACUUUGACCCUUUACCAGUCUCAUGUGAAGGUUUCUUUGAUAUGAAUUAUUUGAAGUGGAAUUUGUAAGUUGUAGAGUAUUUAUAUUUUCAAUUUUAGUAGCUUUUAUUAUGUUUUUAAAGAGGCUGAAGUGGUUUAUAGUCCAACUAGUGGCUUGUGAGAACUUUAGUAUCUUAGCUAGGGCACAGUGAUGCAUACUUAAAUCCCAGAACUUCGGAGACAAGGCAAGCAGAUCUCUGAGUUCGAGGCCAGCCUGGUAUACAGAGCAAGUUCCAGGACAAGGGCUACAGAGAAACGCUUUCUCAAAAAACAAAAACAGAAAUAAAAUCUUUUAUUUAUUUUUUUACACUCCAGAUUUUAUCUGCACCCCUGCCCUCACAACCUUCCCUGGUCCACCCUCUUACUGUUCCACAUCCCAUACCUCCUCCCCACCCCACCUGACUUCUAAAUUCCCUGGGGCCUCCAGUCUCUUGAGGGUUAGGUGCAUCAUUUCUGAUUAAACACAGACCCAGCAGUACUCUACUGUAUAUGUGUUGGGGGCCUCAUAUCAGCUGGUGUAUGCUGCCUGUUUGGUGGUCCACUGUUUGAUAGAUCUUGGGGGUCCAGAUUAAUUAAGACUGCUGGUCCUCCUACAGGGUCACUCUUGACCCCUCAGCUUCUUUCUGCCUUUCCCCAAUUCAACCACAGGGUUCAGCAGCUUCUGUCCAUUGAUUGGGUGCAAAUAUCUGUAUCUGACUCUUUCAGCUGCUUGUUGGGUCUUCCAGAGUGUAGUCAUGCUACAUCCUUUUUUGUGAGCGCUCCAUAACCUCAGUAAUAGAGUCAGGCCUUGGGACCUCUCCUUGAGCUGGAUCUCACUUUGGGCCUGCCACUGGACGUUUUCCUCAGGCUCCUCUCCAUUUCCAUCCCUGUAAUUCUUUCACACAGGAACACUUAUGGGUCUGAGUUUUGACUGUGGGAUGGCAACCCCUCCCUCAUUUGAUGUUUUGUCUUCCUGUUGGAGAUGGGCACUAUAAAUUCCCUCUCCCUACUGUCAGGCAUUUCAUCUAAGGUCCCUCCCUUUGAGUCCUGGGAGUCUCUCACCUCCCAGGUCUCUGGUGUAUUCUGGAGGGUCCCUCCAACCUCCUACCUCCUGAGGUUGCCUGUUUACAUUCUUUCUGCUGGCCCUCAGGGCUUCAGUCUUUUCCCUUACCCAAUACCAGAUCAAAUUCCCCUCUCCCUCAGCAUCCCCCAUCCACUUUCCCUCCUAAGUCCCACCCUCCCUCCCCACUUGUGAUUGCUUCUUUCUCCCAAGCAGGACUGAGGCAUCCUCACUUGGGCACUUCAGCUUGUUGACCUUUAUGAGUUCUGUGAGUUGUAUCUUGGGUAUUCUGUACUUUUUUUUUUUUUGGCUAAUAUCCACUUAUUAGUACAUACCAUGCAUGUCCUUUUGGGUCUGAGUAACCUCACUCAGGAUGAUAUUUUCUAGUUGCAUUCAUUUGCCUGCAAAACUCAGGAUGUCCUUGUUUUUAAUAACUGAGUAGUAUUUAAUAAUUGAGUAGUAUUCCAUUGUGUAAUUGAACCACAUUUUUUGUAUCCAUUCUUCUGUUGUGAGACAUCUGGGUUGUUUACAGCUUCUGGCUGUCACAAAUAAGGUUGUUAUGAACAUAAUGGAACACUUGCUCCUGUGGCAUGGUGGGGCAUCUUUUGGGUAUAUUCCCAAGAGUGGUAUAGCUGAGUCUUCAGGUAGAUCUAAUUUUCUGAGGAACCUCCAGAUUGAUUUCCAGAGUGGUUGUACCAGUUUGCAGUCCCACAAGCAAUGGAGGAAUGCUCCUCUUUCUCCACAUCUUCGACAACAUGUGUUGUCACCUGAGGUUUUGAUCUUAGUCAUUCUGAUUUGUGUAAGGUAGACUCUUUAGGUUGUUUUGAUUUUCAUUUCUCUUAUUACUAAGGACUUUGAACAUUUCUUUAGGUGCUUCUUAGCCAUUUGACAUUUCUCAGUUGUGAAUUCUCGGUUUAGUUCUAUACCCCAUUUUUUCAUUGGGUUGUUUGGCUUUAAGGUGAUUAGCUUCUUGAGUUCUUUAUAUUUUGGAUAUUAGUCCUCUAUCAGAUGUGGGGUUAGUGAAGAUUUUUUUUCCCAAUCUGUAGGUUGCCGAUUUGUCCUAUUGACAAUGUCCUUUGCCUUACAGAAGCUUCCCAGUUUCAUCAAUUGUGGAUCUUAGAGCAUGAGCCAUUGGAGUUCUGUUUAGGAAAUUUCCCCCUUUGCCAAUGAGUUCAAGGCUCUUUCCCACUUUCUCUUUUAUUAGAUUCAGUAUAUCUGGUUUUAUGGUGAGGUCCUUGAUCCACUUAGACUUGAGCUUUGUGCAAGGUGACAAAUAUGGGUCUAUUUUCAUUUUUCUACAUACAGUCAGUUAGUCCAGCACCAUUUAUUGAAGAUGCUUUCUUUUUUCCAUUGUAUAUUUUUGGUGUCUUUGUCUAAGAUCAAGUGUCCAUAGUGUGUGGUUUUAUUUCUGGGUCUUCUAUUCUAUUCCAUUGAUCAACAUGUCUGUCUCUGUACCAAUACCAUGCAGUUUUAAUCACUGUUGCUCUGUAGUACAGCUUGAGGUCAGGGGUGGUGAUUCCCUAGCCAUUCUUUUAUUGUUAAGAAUUGCUUCGAUUGAUAUUCUGAGUUUUUUGGCCUUUCCAGAUGAAUUUGAGAAUUGCUCUUUCCAUGUCUUUGAAGGAUUGUGUUGGGAUUUUGAUGGCGAUUGCCUUUGGUAGGAUGGCCAUUUUUACUAAAUUAAUUCUGCAAAUCUAUGAACAUGGAAGAUCUCUCCAUUUUCUGAGAUCGAUUUUUUUUUUCUUGAGAAACUUGAAGUUAUUGUCAUACAGGUCUUUUACUUGUUUGGUUAGAGUUAUCCCAAGAUAUUUUAUAUUAUUUGUGGCUAUUAUUAAGGGAGUUGUUUCCCUAAUUUCUUUCUUAUCCUGUUUAUCAUUGGUAUAAAGGAAGGCUUCUGAUUUAUUUGAGUUAAUUUUAUGUCCAGCCACUUUGCUGAAGUUAUCAGUUGGAGAAGUUCUCUGGUAGAAUUUUUGGGGUCGCUUAUGUAUACUAUCAUAUCAUCUGCAAAUAGUGAUACUUUUAUUUUUUCUUUGCCAAUUUGUAUCCCCUUGAUGUCCUUUUAUUGUCUUAUUGUUCUAGUUAGCACUUUGAGUACUAUUUUGAAUAGAUUUGGGAGAGUGGGCAUCCUUCUCUUGUCCCCAAUUUUAGUGGGAUUUCUACAAGUUUGUCUCCAUUUAAUUUGAUAUUGGCUGUUGGUUUGCAGUAAAUUGCUUUUAUUAUAUUUAGGUAUGGGCCUUGAAUUCCUGGUCUCUCCAGUACCUUUAACAUGAAGGGGUAUUAUAUUUUGUCAAUUGCUUUUUCUGCAUCCAAGGAGAUGAUCAUGUGAUUUUUUUUCUUUGAGUUUGUUUAUAUAGUGGAUUACGUUAAUGGUUUUUAUAUAGUAAACCAACCUUGCAUCCCUGGGAUGAAGCCUACUUGAUCGUGGUGAAUGAUGGUUUUGAUAGGUUCUUAGAUUCAGUUUGCAAGAAUUUUAUUGAGUAUUUUUGCAUCGAUAUCCAAAAUCUUAAGUAAUAACUUCUGGCUUCUUUUCGUUUGUGCUAGGAUUAAGCUUGCAAUAAGAGAGGCUGAAAUUCAAAAGCUUCAUGCAAAUCUGACUGUGAACCAGCUCUCUCAAAAUGUUGCUAAUGAUAGUCAAGAAUGUGGUAAAGUAAACACGUUAGAAACAGAACCGGUAAAAUUAGGAGGUAGUCAAGUCGGUGAGUAUAUUACAUUUGAAUUACUUUGAUAAAUGACAAUUAGCUUUUGCUGAUAGUAUUUUAAAGGAAAAUAUUAUUAAUUGAUGAUAUUAAAACACUUAGUCUCCUAUUAAUACCUAUGGUUUGUAAAGACAAGAAUUAUUGUGCAGUUCUUAGACUUUGCAUUGUUUAAAAAAUGAUAUUGCUGAAACAAAAUAUCCAAUAAGGUGUACCUCUUUUAAAUACGCAAAUGGGUUGCUGAGCAUGGUAUCACUUUGGAGGCAGAGGCAGGUGGAUCUCUGUGAAUUCAGUGACAGCCUGGUGUACAUAGUCCAAGGACAGUCAGAGCUACAAAGUAUAACACUGUCUUGAAAAAACAAAACAAAAAACCCCAAAUAUACAUAUUUGCUUGCAUGCAGUUGGUUUACGUGUUUGUUUUAAAGUAUGUUCAUGCAGUUGUUAACAUCACCAUAGCCAAAACAUGUAACACUUUUAUCAGGAUCUUUUAUAGUCCUUUUCAGUUUUCUUUAGUUUUAAUUUCUGUUGUUGCUUUUCAGUGCUGGGAAUUGAGCCAGGGAUGGAGCUAUAUUCUCAGCCCUUUAUUAAAUUCUCUUAAAAGUGAAAGCUGUUUUUUUC